AUGCCUGAAGAACAGCUGACGAACACUUCUGAGGAGCUGAACCGGCUGUCCUUUCGCAGACAGCAGCUGAUGGACAAACGCAACAUCCUGGCAAUGCUCAUCCAGUUCAAGCGAAACAACGGCCAAAAUGAGCAACAGUAUUCCAGAGAGACCGAAGAACUUAAAGAAAUUGAUGAGCAGCUUAACAUUCUCUCUGAGAAGAAGAUUCAACUGGAGAAUAAGCAAGGAAGUUUAAGAAGGACUCCUUUAAUAGACACAACGGUUUCAACUGAUGUGAUAAUUAUAGAGAGUCCGCCACCUUAUCCAGCUCCUCGGGUGAUUCUGGAUGUUCAGCAACUACCUCGACACUCAUCUCAGACGCAGUGUCCAUACUGUCACCAGUUUGUAACCACAGACGUAACAACCAAAGCUGGCAGUGCGACCUAUAUUGUGUGUUUAAUUUCCAUUCUUUUUUGUUGUGUGGCUGGUUGCUGUGUAAUCCCGUUCUGCGUGGAUGGAUGCAAAGACGUCGUUCACAAGUGUCCAAAGUGUCGUAGUCACAUAAUAACAUGCAAAAAGCUCUGAGGACUGGAAUUUUUGAAUCCACGUCAUGUGAAAGGUUGCUGGAAUGGUUUCUGGCAAUGACAUCCUGAACGUUUUACAGGGACGGUCCCCAUGGAAUUACCUGGAGUGCCUUUCUUUGAGGAUACGGUGGCGAUAUGUCAUGGUUCUCUCUUUGAGGGGACUGAGCCAACUUUUCGGUUUGCCUUAAAGCUUACCUCCAGAACUAGAAAUACCAAAAGGAAAAUGUAAGACAACUGGAUCUUCAGGGUGACAUCCGUCUUAUGCUAGGAAUUUUAAGAGCAUUCAAUGGCACAUUUGAAUUUUGGGUUGAAUACUCGGUAAAGCACUGAACACUUUCAGGUUCUACAGGAAUGUAAAAAAAUGGAAUCAAGACACAACCAGGGUUUCUGCAGGUCUUCAUUAAACCGUCUGACCAUUUAAGGCCUGAAAACAGCAGAAAGUCAAGAUACAUUUACUUGAUAUGCAAAUAUAAAAUGAAGUCUUGGAAAAACUGCACACUUUUAGUUGUGUUUAUACUUCAUAAAUAUCUGUAACGAUGUGGUUUUUUCAAGCUGAUUUUUUGAGCCUAUUGACUGAUAUUUGGGGGGGGGGGGGUCCAAUCACCGAAGGUGUGUAGGUAAACAUUGUAUCCGUUAGUUUUAUUCUUCUUGUUCCGCUCGAGUCUAUGGCAGCUCAGAACUAUAUUUUCCACUGUCUGAAUUUGCACUCAUGCUUAUUUAGAACUCUAAGGGAUGUUUAUUUAGAUGUAAAAUGCUAUAUUUUAUGAAUGCAUUAGCGUAUCAUUACACAACUCUGUAUGUGUUUUCAUCACCAUGCCCUGAAGGUAUUCAAAACAUUUCAAUCUUAUGGUCAAAAAGUAGCCUAUAAUGAAAUGUCAAACCAUUUUAAUAGCUUUCGAUUAGUAUUGCCU
rnacentral:lncRNA from 1 species